AUUGAACGCUGGCGGCAGGCCUCACACAUGCAAGUCGAACGAGUGGCGCACGGGUGAGUAAUGUCUGGUAAACUGCCCGAUGGAGGGGGAUAACUACUGGAAACGGUAGCUACUACCGCCUACCAUCGGAUUUGCCCAGAUGGGAUUCGCUUGUAGGUGAGGUAACGGCUCACCUAGGCGACGAUCCCUAGCUGGUCUGAGAGGAUGACCAGCCACACGGGAACGGAGACACGGUGCAGACUCCUACGGGAGGCAGCAGUGGGUAAUAUUGCACAAGGGGCGCAAGCCUGAUGCAGCCAUGCCGCGUGUAGGAAGAAGGCCUUCGGGUUGUAAAGUACUUUCAGCGGGGAGGCGUUACCCGCAGAAGAAGCACCGGCUAACUCCGUGCCAGCAGCCGCGGUAAUUC
rnacentral:rRNA from 1 species